UACGUAGGGGGCGAGCGGUGUCCGGAAUUAUUGGGCGUAAAGCGCGCGCAGGUGGUUCCUUAAGUCUGAUGUGAAAGCCCACGGCUCAACCGUGGAGGGUCAUUGGAAACUGGGGAACUUGAGUGCAGAAGAGGAAAGUGGAAUUCCAAGUGUAGCGGUGAAAUGCGUAGAGAUUUGGAGGAACACCAGUGGCGAAGGCGACUUUCUGGUCUGUAACUGACACUGAGGCGCGAAAGCGUGGGGAGCAAACAGG
rnacentral:rRNA from 1 species